UCCCUGGUGGCUCAAACGGUACAGCGUCUGCCUGCAAUGCGGGAGACCAGGGUUCGAUUCCUGGGUUGGGAA
rnacentral:tRNA from 1 species